rnacentral:lncRNA from 1 species
UUGUACAUGCUUCUUAAAAAUGUGUAUCCCUGUGGAGGCAGAGAGGGCGGAAGAAGGGGGAGCCGGCCAUGGGAGGCCGAAGGCGGAGGAGGGAGGCCAGAGGAAGGAGGAAGGUGGAGGGUUUCUUGAAUAGGGAUGGUGCACAUGUAAUACAGAGUGUCCUUUUGAUCGCUGCGUGUGAUCUGAUUCUCUUUUAAUUGUUUUGAAAGACUUAGAAUACCCAAUAUUAAAAUCAGAUUUAAAAAAAAUACAAAAAACAAAGAAAGCAUGUAUCGAACCAGGAUCUUUUCUGUGUAAAGAAUGGGUUUUACCAAUGCACCAAACUCAAUCUCAUUGUUAUAGGAUCCAACUAAAUUAUUUUAUGGGGUCCAUAUAAAAUUUUAUAUACCGCUUCUACCAUUUUUUAUAAAAAGAUUGAGGUCUGGGGACCCCGUUCCACUUAACGUGGGUCCGCCCCUACCGGUCUGUACAAUCCAUAGAAGAAAACAACCUUUCAUAUACUUGUUUCUUUCCAUUACAGUUUUAUCCGAUGGUAAAAACCGAUGAUAAUGUCCUUGCUAAUUUCAAAUUCAGGAAUUCCAAAAACAAAAAUUUCAAGACUAAAAAAGAAAAAAAUAAUUUAUGUUGGCUAUCAAACAAAAAUCA